ensembl:lncRNA
GCCGUCUGUAGCAUUGAAUGCAAGGGAAGGCAGCGAGCAUUUGGCCUCCCUUGAUCAUUAUUUAAAUAAAAUAAUAACCAAUCCACGUUGCGCUAAACUGAGUGAGUUCAGCUGUGAAUGGUCCUGGCGCACCAAAAAACAGUGUCAAGGGAAGCCAGUUUGUACCUAUCACAUAUGAAGCCAAACAACAUCGACAUAACUUGAAUUGUUAUAACUCAUUGUGUCAUUGUCCUCCGGUAGCUAGCUAGCUAAAAUUGUCCCUUUCCUAAAUUAGCCAUGGAUGGAGAUAGGGAUUUGGGCUUGUGGUUUUACUUAAAUCUCUGUAUUGGCCAAUGAUUAUAAAGGUGAUUCUGAUCAAACCAUAAAUGCAUACAUUGAGCCCCUGGCCUGAGAGGAUGGAAGUUCAACAUGUCGCUAGCUAAUGUAUAUGUAGUUAACUAGCUGGCCUGGCACAUUGUUGCUCAUGAAAGAAAGUUAGGCUAGCGAGCAAGCAUUUUAGUAACCUAGGACAACAAAAACUAAAAGUGUGUAUAGACCGUUUAGGCAACAUGAAAGAGGAUGGCAUUGGCAUUUUUCAACAGAAAACAAGACAUUCCUCAAGGCUCUCAGAUGUGUUCCAUCCGCAGUCGUCACAUCUUAGAUCCAGCGCACCUGACCCAAUGUGAGCAGAGCAGGAGGGAUUCCUGUCACUCAGAGCUCUGUGGGCCCACCUUCCAUCCACCAGACUGUCAGCCCUGGGGAGUUUUUUUCAGAAGCACUAUAUGGCUUUUCAGAGAACCAGAGGUUAAUCUAUUUGGAAUUAUUCAGACUUCCUUCACUGAAGUUCAACAGUUUUAUUGGUGGAGACCCUGGCAGUUUUCACUUCAAAAGUUGAUCCGCAGGACAUCCUGACAUAAGCAAUGGCUUCUCUCUCUAAAACUGGACUGAGCUACAUUUAGAGUGCCUGACUGAGGGACUUAAACUCAUGAAAGACCAACCGACCAGUUGAUAUUUCAAGGAUAAAUUCCUAGCACAGAAUUGGAGUACAACCAGCAAGUUCUACUAUUCUCUGCCAUCAUUCCAGUGGUAGUAUGCAAAGUUGCAUCAUACCAAAGUGGCCCAAGUUUGUAAGCACUUUAGUCUGUGUGGGAGAGUUUCUGCUUGUGGCGCUGAUUUAUUUCCCAAAUAGCCCAUUUGGUAUGAAAAUUAUAUUCUUGUGCAAAUACUAUAUUUGUAUUUCAAAAUGAUAUUCAUAAAAUUACAGAAACAGUGUUAUCUUCUGUAUGUUUUAAUGUGAGAGGUCUAGGAAAUAUUUAUGAUAGACUUCCCAUUUGAAAAAACAAUGAAGACACCAUACAUUGCUGUUUUGCACAAUUUGUAUCACAAUUUAUUCUUAAUCACAAUCCAUAUAUUUCCCUUGAAACAGUGCAUUUGGGCACUCCUGUGCACAAGAGUAACUUAGACAAAUUGUUAAAUACUGUGCAUUAGUCAAAUGUAGAAGAAGAGCUAGAUGACCCAACUUCAGCUGAAGUUUAGAUAAGAUCAAUGUGUAGACUCACUAAACAGAGAGGAAAGAGAGAUGUACUAGUGUCACUAAACCUGUGUCUGUCUAUUUGUCUUUUCUCUUCCAUCCAUAUAACUUUCUAGCUACCACAUCUCUCUUUUUUUUCUGAUUAGUUUAACCUGAUUUAUUAUAGAUAAACAUUAUGACCUUCCAUUGAUUUUAGUGGUGGAUAGAGGCAAAGUAACGUUUGAUUUCAAGACAGAUGAAGAGCCUCCCUAGAGCAUUUGGACUCUACAAUGCCUCCAUUUGUUUCAGAGACAGGCCAAAUCCCAUAUUUGGAUUAUACACAAUAUACAAACAAAAGUAUGUGGACACCCCUUCAAAUUAGUGUAUUCAGCUAUUUCAGCCAGACCCGUUGCUGACACGUGUAUAUAAUAGAGGACACAGCCAUGCAGUCUCAAUAGAUGAACAUUGGCAAUAGACUGGCCUUACUGAAGAGCUCAGUGACUUUCAAUGUGGCACCGUCAUAGGAUGCCACCUUUCAAACAAUCAGUUCGUCAAAUUUCUGCCCUUCCAGAGCUGCCCCGGUCAACUGUACGCACUGUAAUUGUCUAGGAGCAACAACGGCUUAGCCGCGAAGUGGUACAGAACAGGACCGCCGAGUGCUGAAGUGCACAGCACGUAAAAAUCAUCUGUCCUCGGGUUGCAACUCACACUACCAAAUUCCGAACUGCCUCUGGAAGCAACAUCAGCACAAGAACUGUUCGGGAGCUUCAUAAAUGGGUUUCCAUGGCAAAGCAGCCGCACACAAGCCUAGGAUCACAAUGUGGAAUACCAAGCGUUGGCUGGAGUGGUGUAAAGCUCGCCGCCAUUGGACUCUGGAUCAGUGGAAAUGCGUUCUCUGGAGUGAUGAAUCACGCUUCACCAUCUGGCAGUCCAACGGACAAAUCUGAGUUUGGAAGAUGUCAGGAGAACACUACCUGCCCCAAUGCAUAGUGCCAACUGUAAAGUUUGGUGAAGGAGGAAUAAUGGUCUGGGGCUGUUCAUGGUUCGGGCCCCUUAGUUCCAGUGAAGGAAAAUCUUAAUGCUACAGCAUACAAUUACAUUCUAGAUGAUUCUGUGCUUCCAACUUUGUGGCAACAGUUUGGGGAAGGCCCCCUGUUUCAGCAUGACAAUGCCCCAGUGCACAAAGCAAGGCCCAUACAGAAAUGGUUUAUGGAGAUCGGUGUGGGAGAUCUUGACUUGACUGGCCUGAGCACAGCUCUGACCUCAACCCCAUCGAAAACUUUUGGGGUUAAUUGGAACGCAGACUGUGAGCCAGGCCUAAUCGUCCAACAUCAGUGCCCAACCUCACUGAUGGCUGAAUGGAAGGAAGUCCCUGCAGCAAUGUUCCAACAUCUAGUGGAAAGCCUUCCCAGAAGAGUGGAAGCUGUUAUAGCAGCAAAUAGGGGACGCACUCCAUAUUAAUGCCCAUGAUUUUGGAAUGAGAUGUUCGACGAGCAGGUGUCCACAUACUUUUGGUCAUGUAGUGUGUCUUUCUUAUACAAACUCCAGAAGGUAUGGAUGUGGACUGAUGAUGUAGGAGGGGGGUGCAAUACCCCCCCCCCCCCCCCCCCCCCCACCCUCUUUCUCAAUGAUCUGAGCAGGCUCAUAUGAUUUUGAUAGACAUCCUAUAUUCCUCAGAUAAUUUGGAAUUUCUGGAAAACCAUCAGAAUCUGAAGAAACACCAGUGCACUUCUUUUGACUGUGGAGGACACAUCUACAUGGAAAACAGCCCAGGUCUUGACAAUCUUCCCUUUGAACUGAUAAUACUAUACUGUGCAAUAUUUCAGAGUUGUGAGAAUUCACAAGGUUGCAAUACAUGAAUGUAUAAAGUAACUGUAUCAGAGGCUGCAUCAUAAGUAACACCUGUAGACUAUAAUCUUAGAAGAGGGAAAUGUAAGGUGGCGUAUAAUUGAAAUUGCACUAAGAAUUAUCAUUGUAUUAGAUUUAGCAGUGUUCAUUUAGACUUAGUAUUUAUCAGUGUUUUCUUUAUUACUGAAAUAUGAGUGUUUCUCUGAUUUGCUAGGAGUGAUACUUUACAUUCAAUUGGCAUUGUAUUUAUUUUUUAUUAAUUUGCACUGAUCGGAUGUUGAUGAUCGGAUGUUUUUAAAUAUAUAUAAUGCUUGUCAAGAUUGCAGACUCAUCAAAGUAUUUCAAUUUUUUGGAUUAAUUAUCUUCUGUAACAAAAUAAAUCCAUCGUUAUAAUGCACCAUUGUCUAUGGCUUUGCAAGGACAGUGUUGUACAUGGGCAGAACUGGACUAAAGUCACAAUGAAACAAAACAUGUAUGCAAUGACACUAAAAGUAGUUAAAAAUAAAAGUGAGCAUUUCACAAGUGCUCUCGUUUGUGUGUGGGGAGGGGAAGAGGGAGGGGUGGAUUAUUUUACCAAAAAG